UACGGAGGGUGCGAGCGUUGUCCGGAAUCACUGGGCGUAAAGGGCGCGUAGGUGGCGCGGGCAGUCAACGGUGAAAUUUCGGGGCUCAACCCCGAACGGUCGUGGGAAACUGGUCGGCUAGAGUGCGGGAGAGGAGAGUGGAAUUCCUGGUGUAGCGGUGAAAUGCGCAGAUAUCAGGAAGAACACCCGUGGCGAAGGCGGCUCUCUGGAACGCAACUGACGCUGAGACGCGAAAGCGUGGGGAGCAAACAGG
rnacentral:rRNA from 1 species